rnacentral:rRNA from 1 species
UACGUAGGGGGCGAGCGUUGCCCGGAAUCAUUGGGCGUAAAGGGCGCGCAGGCGGCCUGAUUAGUCGUGGGUGAAAUCGUUCGGCUCAACCGAGCGGGGUCCUGCGAAACGGUCGGGCUGGAGCAAGGCAGGGGGUCGUGGAAUUCCCGGUGUAGCGGUGAAAUGCGCAGAUAUCAGGAGGAACACCAAUUGCGAAGGCAGCUCGCUGGGACGUUACUGACGCUGAGACGCGAAAGCGUGGGGAGCAAACAGG